rnacentral:lncRNA from 1 species
AGCUUCUCCUUCUUCCUUCUCCCCUCUUACAUUUCUUCAUCCUCCAUGGGAGUUCUCUUCAAGCUUCCAUAACACUCUCUAGCUAGCUCCAUUUUUCAUGCUUUUAUGUACCCUUUCAUAGAACCUUUGUGCUCUUUCAUUCUCUCACUUUAAAAUCCUUGAAAAUUUCUUACUUCCAUACUUUUUCUCACUAGCUAGAUGUUUAGAGAGAGAAAGAGGGAGCUUUUAUAAUAGUUUAGAGAAUUAUUGGAAAGAAUUUCAAAUUUACAAAGCUACCAAGGUGAGUAGUAAAUUAGAGUUGAUUUUUAAGUGUUGAGAAUGGCAAUUGGAUGCUAGUUAGGAGAUAGCUUUCCAGAAAUUAUAGUUGUAUGAAUUGAGUUAGUUGUGAUGCCAAUGUGAUGAUAGGUUCCAACGAAGCCCCACCGCCCUAUUUGGACCAAUAAAGGAAGUUGGAGUUAAGUAAAGAUUUAACGAAUAUCGAUGAGUGAACUUGCAUUUCAAAAUCGUUUUGGAAAUAUGAAUGUGUUGCACAAAACAUUUGAAUGAUUUUAUCUAACUUUUCUUUAAAAAUCUACCUAGGGAACAAGCUUUUGGUGAAUGUUUUUAUCUUGUGAAAAUGUGCCAUAUAAAUGGUUCAUGUGUUAUAGCAAUAUGUUGAUAUGUAUAAUAUGCAUUAGAUGUUCCUUUUUGUGUGAUGAUGAUGACCCAGCCAUGUGCGUGUAGGAGUGCACAUGAGUUGAUGCUGACCCAGCUAUGUGUGAGUGGGGAGUGCACACGAGCUGAUGAUGAGGGGGAUGGUAUGCAUGAUGAUGUAUAUAUGUGUGUGUGUGUGUGUGUGUGUGUGUGCUAUAGAAAGUUCGUGAGUAUGGUGUAUGGUUGUAAUACCUGUGAAUCUUGCAUGUUAAAUCUUGAAAAUUUCUAAGCAUGUUCAAGUUGAUUUUGUCCUUGCAGAUAAAUGGCCUUUUCUUAAAAGAAUGAAAAUUUGUUGUUGGUGUCUUGUUUCUCGCUGCAGCGAGAAUGAAUCUUGCUGCAGCGAAAAACUCUCGGGUUUGGAGGGUUACAUUGGCUUGAUUCUCGCUGCAACGAGAAUAUAUUCUUGUUGUAGCGAGAAAGUUGCUGAAGCUCCUCGCUGCAACGAGAUUUAUUCUAGCUGUAGCGAUAAACAUUAUGUUUCUGCUGCCUGCAAGUCACUGCAGCAAGAAACUUUCUGCUUUGGCCGCUUGAAUCUUGUUGCAGCGAGAAACUUUCUGUCCAGUAUGCUAUCUUGCUGGUUUUAGCCAUAUUUUUCUAUUUCAUUUACACCAUAGUUGAUCAUGGGCUCCCAACAUUUAGGGGUUUAUUUAAUUAAGUUUAAAAUAAGGAAGUUUAGAGAGAAACCCUCGUCCAGUUGAGAAACCCUCGUCCAGCUAAUAACUUGAGCCUAAAUUUCGUUGCAACGAAAAUUCAUUCUCACUGCAGCUAUGUUGCAGCAAGGACCCGUCAUUUACUUAACUUGAUUUGCUUGAAUGCUAUUAAAGUUUUCACCUUUUAAAUCUUUUGUUGAGUAUGGACCCUUUAUUGUCAAGAGCUUUACUCAUUUGGGGUUUCAUGAGGUGUUUUGAUAAGAUCUAAACUAAAUGGCAUUGUUUUAAAGAUAAAUGCCUCAUGAUUUCUCUAAAUUUUCCUUAUUGUUUGCUUGUUCCCUUCCUUGUUCACUCACUGGGUUUAUACUCACCGUUUUCAACUUCAUGUUUUUAGAUCAGGAGGCAGCCGGUAACUAGGUCGAGGUGUCUUCGUAAUUUCGUAUCCUUGGUAGGUAUCUUGGCAUUCUGUAGCCGCACCUUGACCUUGGUCACUCCGCUGGAAGCCUAGGGUUAUUUUGUUGUAAAUAUGUACAUGUGAUGUAAAGUACUAAGAUAUAUGUUUUAGACAAUUUAUGUAUAUUUGAUUGAUAAUGCCACUAUGAAAUGGCAAUGG